UAGCGUAGGGACCGAGCGUUGUCCGGAAUCAUUGGGCGUAAAGAGCGUGUAGGCGGCCACUUAAGUCCUGCGUGAAAUCUUGCGGCUCAACCGCAAGCGGUCGUGGGAAACUGGGUGGCUAGAGUGCGGGAGAGGAGAGUGGAAUUCCUGGUGUAGCGGUGGAAUGCGCAGAUAUCAGGAAGAACACCCGUGGCGAAGGCGGCUCUCUGGAACGCAACUGACGCUGAGACGCGGAAAGCGUGGGGAGCAAACAGG
rnacentral:rRNA from 1 species